UGCGGUUCUGGGUUAUAGAGUUCCCACAGACCCGCAGAGACUCAGAUCCUCCAGACCCCAAGGAUGGGGGUCCCGGCUCUGCAAACCCUCCUCCUGCUGCUCUCUCAGACCCUGGCCUUAACCGAGACCUGMGACGUGGUGAAUCCCAGGGCAGAGCCGCGGGUGCCGUGGAUGGAGCAGGUGGGACCUGAGUACUGGGACCGGAACACAUGGAUCGUCAAGCGCAGUGCACAAGCCUUUCUGAGUGAUUCUAAACAACCUGCUCGGCUAGACCAGAGCGACGCAGUGUCACGCGGGGAAAGUCCGUGGGGCCGGACCGACAAGAGUGGCGGUGCCAGGAGCUCAUACCUACCAGACUCUCCGUGGCUGCAUCCUGGGGCGGCACCUGCGCCUCCUCCGCGGGUACUGUCAGGACGCCUACUUUGGUGGAUUACAAUGAGCUGA
rnacentral:lncRNA from 1 species